AAGUCGUAACAAGGUUUCCGUAGGUGAACCUGCGGAAGGAUCAUUACUGAAUGAAAAUGGGUGAGGUUGUAGCUGGCUCCAGUGAUUGGGGCAUGUGCACGCCUCAUUCAAUCAUCCAAACUCUACACCUCUGUGCACCUCUCAUGGGCUGAGUUGUGGUCUGAGACAUUGACCGCGUUCUCUAGCCUGUGUGUUUUUACAUACACCUGCUUGUUCAAAGAAUGUCACAUUUUUGUGCAUGAAAUGCAUACAAUACAACUUUCAGCAACGGAUCUCUUGGCUCUC
rnacentral:misc_RNA from 1 species